GACGAACGCUGGCGGCGUGCUUAACACAUGCAAGUCGAACGGAAAGGCCCUGCUUUUGUGGGGUGCUCGAGUGGCGAACGGGUGAGUAACACGUGGGUAACCUGCCCUUGACUUUGGGAUAACUUCAGGAAACUGGGGCUAAUACCGGAUAGGAGCUCCUGCUGCAUGGUGGGGGUUGGAAAGUUUCGGCGGUUGGGGUUGGACUCGCGGCUUAUCAGCUUGUUGGUGGGGUAGUGGCUUACCAAGGCUUUGACGGGUAGCCGGCCUGAGAGGGUGACCGGCCACAUGGGGACUGAGAUACGGCCCAGACGCCUACGGGAGGCAGCAGUGGGGAAUAUUGCACAAUGGGCGGAAGCCGGAUGCAGCAACGCCGCGUGCGGGAUGACGGCCUUCGGGUUGUAAACCGCUUUCGCCUGUGACGAAGCGUGAGUGACGGUAAUGGGUAAAGAAGCACCGGCUAACUACGG
rnacentral:rRNA from 1 species